UACGUAGGGGGCAAGCGUUGUCCGGAUUCAUUGGGCGUAAAGAGCGUGUAGGCGGCCAGGUAGGUCGGUUGUGAAAACUGGAGGCUCAACCUUCAGAGGUCGACCGAAACCAUCUGGCUAGAGUCCGGGAGAGGUAAGUGGAACUGCGAGUGUAGAGGUGAAAUUCGUAGAUAUUCGCAAGAACACCAGUGGCGAAGGCGGCUUACUGGUCCGGUUCUGACGCUGAGGCGCGAAAAGCGUGGGGAGCAAACAGG
rnacentral:rRNA from 1 species